rnacentral:rRNA from 1 species
AUUGAACGCUGGUGGCAUGCUUAACACAUGCAAGUCGAACGGUAACGGGCGGGAGCUUGCUCCUGCGCCGACGAGUGGCGGACGGGUGAGUAAUGCAUAGAAAUCUACCUGAUAGCGGGGGAUAGCCCGGGGAAACUCGGAUUAAUACCGCAUACGUCCUACGGGAGAAAGCUGGGGACCUUUUGGCCUGGCACUAUCAGAUGAGUCUAUGUCUGAUUAGCUUGUUGGUAAGGUAAAGGCUUACCAAGGCAACGAUCAGUAGCUGGUCUGAGAGGACGACCAGCCACACUGGGACUGAGACACGGCCCAGACUCCUACGGGAGGCAGCAGUGGGGAAUAUUGGACAAUGGGCGAAAGCCUGAUCCAGCAAUGC